AUCAGAUUACAACCAUGUAUGUAGCUACACUCAUUGUUAAACGGAGCUAAAGUAAGACGUUUUAUAUCUUUAAGUACCUACCAUGAUACCGCCACAGACCAGGCAUGCAGCUAUUCCUGUAAAUCCACCAUGGCUACUCCCACCUCCAGAGGUUGAUCUACUAGUGUUGGAGAGACUACGGAAAGAUAGGGAGGGUGUUAAUCCAUCUGGAUACUGUGUAUCAGGAUUUUGUGGCCAUUUACACAGAUGGUUUCAAAGAUCCAAGAACACGACAUACUGGGUCAGCAUUUGUAGUGCAGGAACGUAUUACAGAUCAUCUGGCUGUAUAUACGGCUGAGCUGAUGGCCAUACUGUUGGCCUUGCAGUGGGUGGCGGAAGUCAAGCCAGACAGAGUAGUUAUUUGCUGUGAUUGAUGUGAGGUGUUGAUGAGUCAGCAGUCCUUUAGCUCAUGUAGCAGACAAUACCUGCUUUAUGAGGUACUACAAACUCAUGGCACUAUUAGACAGAUGGGUAUACAUAUCAGAUUCACUUGGGUCCCAGUCCAUGUGGGGGUGUAGGGGAAUGAGGCAGUUGAUGUUGUGGCUAAACAAGCACUUAGUAGUUGGGAUGUUAUAGUUUCAAUGAGCAAGGCAGAAGCAAAAAGCCUGAUAUUGACAGUGAUGGUGCCACGAUGGCAGGAGCAGUGGAAUAGAGCUAUGAAGGACAGGGAUUUAUUUCAAGUACAGAGGAAAGUCUGGGACGGGAGGACAGCAUGAAGGGGCAGAAGAGAGAUGGCUAUUUUUACAAGGUUAAGUGUGGGACACAACCGGUUGAAUAAGACUUUAAAAGGGAUAGGAAAACACCCAACAGGAAAGUGUGAUUAUUGCCAGGAAACAGACCAUGGAGCAUGCAUUGCUACAGUAUGGCAGUAUCAGAAGGAAAAGGAGAGGAUGAGAGCUAGUAUGAGGGAGAAGGAGAUACAGGAAAUUAGUUUUAAAAGUAUAUUGAGUAGAACUUCAUUGGUUAUAGUCUCAAAUAUUUUAUAUAUUUUUUAAGAUGAACGGGGCUGGCAGGAUUUAGUUUCUCCCUGUCUCUGGACCACACUCCAGUACAGUCGGUGGCGGUAAUGCAUCAUGACGAUGAAUUGUGAACCGAAGAUAAAGCUUACCGAAGAAGAAGCCCAGGCACGCGCAAAAAGUGGCGCACCAAGUUCUCGCAUCGAUUUUUCUACAUAGUAUGCUGUCGCCACUCUCUUGCGGUAAUUGUUCUACACAUUUUUAAAAGAAACCAAAAGCUUUCAAAAUAUUACGUAUUUUAUCACUAACAGAUGAGAGGACAGCUUAAGUACUUUUCCCGGACAUUACCCCUUCACUACAGUCCGCAUUUCUGUGUCCAGAUUGUAACAAAACAAGUGCAUGGCAAUGUCAAGGGGCAGAGAGAAUAAAAUACAUGACUGCACUUAAAUUGCGAAUGGAGGAUGUUUUUCCCAUGUUUCAUUUUGAUGCCAGCCAGGUGAUAUUAGCUAUGCAUCUGGCACUUACCGGCUCUUCAAAUUGCCCAAAAAGCUUGAGAUGUCAAUCGCAAUAGUGACCUACAAGGGAAGUGUGUCUGACUACCCUUGUCAGCUGUAGUUUGACUCCUCCCACUGCUUCAAGAAAAACGCUGCAGGUCGACGGGGUUAUCUUCCAGUGCUCUCUCUUCUCCCCAGACUUCUGCAUCCAGAAGUAUGGCCACCUCAGCCCUUUCUUGCUGUGCUGCUCGGUGAAUCAAUGCUCCAAGACAGGCAAAGCCCCAGUAGCCUGUGGAGAGACCUAACUUAACGACACCACAUCCAUGAUGGAACCUCCUUAGAGAGCCGGGGUGUAUGGCCCAAUAAUCUUGCCUUCCUGCUGAAGUGUGCAUUCACUACUUCCCACAAAUCUAAAAGCAUUGGAUUGUUGUUUGCCUGGGAUAUUGGGAGUUUCCAUAUUUAUAGUGAUAAUUCCCAAGAAGCCGGUGUUUGUUGGAUAUGUUGGCAUGGUGUUGUUAGGCCCGAGACCAAAUCGAGGACUGGCAAACCAUGCCAAUAUAUCCAACAAACACCAGCUUCGAGGGCAUUAUCACUUGUACACGGGUU